AUCCCAAAAAGUAAAAAACUGGCAAAACCCUCCCACGCGAAUUUUUGUUGAACUGAAUUGAAAUAAGGCCAUUGUGCUGAUAUCGGCGGCAAAUUGCGUUCUUGAUUCCCAAUCCCCACUUCCACGGCAAAGAGGUUUAGGAUCCGAACCUCGUCGAACCCGUCUUUUGCUUGAUUGAUUUGGAUCAAACUUGCUGUUUCGUGGUAGUGAAUUCCUUUUCAUGUUCUUUUCCUCCACCCUCGAGUCUUCAACAAGAAUGUGGCGACUAGAUCUUAGAGCAAGGUCUAUGCUUCUCAAAGCACAAGCCUGAUCUGGUUGAACAGCUAAAAGUGCAACAACACACAUGAGGAGGACAACAAGUACUCUGUGUAUACUGAAAACCAUGGCUUCUACAAUGAAGCAAAAAAAGAGAGAGAAAGAGGAUAGAUAUUUUGAUUUUUUUCUCUCCUUUUUUCUUCUGUUUUGUUUCUGUGGUAGGUUGAUUCCUGUAGUAGACACACAAGGCUGCUAUUUAUCUGCAUUGGUUUUGGAAGUGGCUUUAAAGCAUAAAGCAGAAUUGGGCCCUCAAACAUCUAGACCAAUUAUAGAUUCAUUCAAAUCAUAAGCCUGCAAAUCUAAGGCUGUUAACCAAGAAUCAUAAGGAUGAAUAAAGGUGUUUCUUGGAACAA